GGCGGUCUACCCGGGGCCAGGCGGGAGCUGCUUUACGGCAGGGGCGGGCGGGGGGCGCAGUUGAGUCCCACCGGCUCCCGCGCGAGGAUCGGAGCGGCCCGGGUCUCCCCUCGCGGCGCGCGGCCGCAGCCAGAGGAGGCAGAGCGCGGAAGGAAAGGUGGAGAAGGGACAUCAUCGGGGACGUCGGUCCAUCUCUAGGCGCUGGUGUUCUGGAGGAGGCAGAGCGCGGAAGGAAAGGUGGAGAAGGGACAUCAUCGGGGACGUCGGUCCAUCUCUAGGCGCUGGUGUUCUGGAGGAGGCAGAGCGCGGAAGGAAAGGUGGAGAAGGGACAUCAUCGGGGACGUCGGUCCAUCUCUAGGCGCUGGUGUUCUGGAGGAGGCAGAGCGCGGAAGGAAAGGUGGAGAAGGGACAUCAUCGGGGACGUCGGUCCAUCUCUAGGCGCUGGUGUUCUGGAAAAAUGAAGAAUUCAGAACCCAACCGUAAACUCAAGACAAGCCGCAAAAAUAGGAAUAGAAACUCAAAGACCUUGGAACAGAAUUGCAGCAUGAAACCCAGGAGCAUGGACUCACAGGGGGCUCUUAAAUUCCAGGACCACCUCCACUGCAUCCACAGGCAGGUGAGGGGCCAUCCCCACCACCGUCUCUACCAGUGCCACCUCUACCCACAGGAAUUGCUCCUCCUCCUCCUCCAACUCCUUUAUCUCUACUAAAUGGUACACCAUACCCACCACCAUCACCUUUGUUUGGGCAUCUCCUGGUGUAACCUAAAACAUGAAGCAGAAAUAAAUGUAUAAAACUGACCUUCA